GAUGAACGCUGGCGGCGUGCCUAAUACAUGCAAGUCGAGCGAACAGACGAGGAGCUUGCUCCUCUGAUGUUAGCGGCGGACGGGUGAGUAACACGUGGAUAACCUACCUAUAAGACUGGGAUAACUUCGGGAAACCGGAGCUAAUACCGGAUAAUAUUUUGAACCGCAUGGUUCAAUAGUGAAAGACGGUUUUGCUGUCACUUAUAGAUGGAUCCGCGCCGCAUUAGCUAGUUGGUAAGGUAACGGCUUACCAAGGCAACGAUGCGUAGCCGACCUGAGAGGGUGAUCGGCCACACUGGAACUGAGACACGGUCCAGACUCCUACGGGAGGCAGCAGUAGGGAAUCUUCCGCAAAGGGCGAAAGCUUGACGGAGCAACGCCGCGUGAGUGAUGAAGGUCUUCGGAUCGUAAAACUCUGUUAUUAGGGAAGAACAAAUGUGUAAGUAACUAUGCACGUCUUGACGGUACCUAAUCAGAAAGCCACGGCUAACUACGUG
rnacentral:rRNA from 1 species